rnacentral:rRNA from 1 species
CCCUUCGAUGUUCGGAGCUGCACGCGCGCUACACUGUGGGUGGCAGCAUGCUAGCUUGCCUCGCUCGCAAGAGUGGGGUAAUCGUUUGAAAAUCCCACGUGAUUGGGAUAGGGACUUGUAAUUAUUUCCCUUGAACGAGGAAUCCCUAGUAAGUGCAGGUCAUCAGCUUGCGCUGAUUACGUCCCUGCCCUUUGUACACACCGCCCGUCGCUCCUACCGAUUGAAUGGUCCGGUGAAGCGUUCGGACCGUGGCCUUUGGACGGUUCGCCGUCUGUUGGCUGCGGGAAGUUCGUUAAACCUUAUCAUUUAGAGGAAGGAGAANUCGUAACA